AUAUAUUAUAUAAAUUAAUAGAUAAUUAAUUAAAUUGAUAAUUAAUAAUAUAAUUAUCAUCUUUAUUAAUUAAAAUUUUAUAACGUAUAGGUAAUGACACCAAAACAACAAUCAUAUGAUCCAACUUGGAGGCAUGCACUUCGAUUAGAAAAUCGAUUUCAUUGCGAUAUGAUUGGACGUGGCGAUGGGAUCACACACCUAAAACAUCUUGCUGGUGGAUAUCCAGAUGUCUCUAAAUACUCAAAACUUUCUCAAGAAAUUCGUCAUGCAAUGAAAGAUGAACUUGAUGGUAAAAAAGAAUUAAAGUAUAAACAACAACAACGUGAAAUGUUUGAUAGGUGAAGCUCUAAAGAACCAGUCUUUGAUGAAUUUGAAGGGCGUGGUGAAGAUCCAAAUGAUGAAGAAUUUUUAGCAGCUCUUAGUGCCUCUUGAACUCAAUAUGAAUAUGAGUGGCAUAUGCAACAUAGUGGUGCUAUCAUUGGUGCUAGCGGAAGUAGCUCAGGUGCUAGUGGAAGUGGCUCAACUACUACAGCAACAUUGGGGAGGAGUGCAAGUGUUCGUGCUACUUCAACACAAGGUGGUAUUUGUCGUUUCUUUCCUUCUAUGGGACGAAGGCAUACAGUUGAUAUUGUUGAUAUUGAUCUACUAGUAUUCCCAAACCAAGCUAGCAAAUAGACUAGGAUUGAUGAUGCUUAUAUAAAGGAGAAGAAGAAAUCAAUAUGUCAAAGUAUUGCUAAAUUUUUUCAUUUCAAUCGAAUUCCUCCCAAUGCAGCAAAUAACACAUACUACCGUAGCAUGGUUUACAACAUUCAAAAAUCUGGAUCUGGUAUUCAACCUCCGACUGCAUAUGAAAUUACUAGUCCGUAUUUAGAUGAACAAGGAUAGGAAAUCAAAACUUGGAUUUUAUCAUGCAAGAAACAAUGGGGCUUAUAUGGGGUUACAUUAAUGUGUGAUGGUUGGACAGGGCCUACACGGAUGAACAUUAUUAAUUUUCGGCUAUACUGCAAUAGAAAGGUGAUUUUUCAUAAAUCUGUUGACGCAACUGCAGAUUAUCAUGAUGCAUCUUAUAUAUAUCAUUUGAUGGAUAAUGUAGUUCAAGAAAUAGGUGCAGACCAUAUAGUGCAGGUAAUUACAAACAAUGGUGCCAACUUCAAAAGGGUGGGAGAGUUUUUGGAGCAAAAAUAUCAAACAUUAUUUUGGACACCAUGCGCAGUACACUGUAUUGAUUUGAUGAUGGCAGAUAUCGGUAAACUCGAUAUAGGAAAGAAGGUAGUGAAAAAAGAUCAAUCAUUAACAAAAUUCCUUUAUAAUCAUCAUUGGGUUCAUGGAUUAAUGAGGAAAUUUAUUAAUAGGGAGAUUCUACGAUCAGGAGCAACUAGGUUUGCAACUCACUUUCUCCUAUUAAAAUCAUUGUUUCAGAAAAAAGUCAGAUUGAAGGUCAUGUUCACUUUUGAAGAUUGGGAAACCUCUCGAUACUCUAGUUCUACUAAAGGAAGGGAGGUCGUUUUACGUGAAGUCGAUAUGAACAAGAAGCCACAAAUGGGCAACAUCUACCAUCUAAUUCAUGAAGCAAAAGAAGAAAUUAAGAGACAUCUACAAUCACCAACCAAGUAUUAAUAUUAUAUUGAUAUAAUCACUACAAGAUGGGACAACCAAAUGGUAAAAUAUAUUCAUUUGGCAGGUGCAUAUUUUUUAUGAUACAGAAUUUUUAAUAUUGCUAUUAAUAAUUAUAUAUGCUUAAUUAUUUUAGUUUAUUUUCUCAAUCCAGCAUAUCAAUACCGUUAUAAUCUUGCCACAAAUGAAAAUCUAUUAGUAGUUCUCAAAAAAUGUAAUAUCAAGACUCCAAAAAAAUAGAGAAUUAGCUGCUGAGGCUAUUAAUGAAAGUCGAUUAUUUUGAGAGGCAUAUGAUUCUUUUAGCGAUUUUUUUGCAGUGUCAUGCAAAUAUAAAAUGGAUGCAGGUAAAUAUAAAAAAAUUAUUACUAAUUAUUGUCAACAAAUAUAAAUAUUAUUUUAAUUUUAUUUUUAUUUAUCUUAUAGCUGAGUGGUGGUUACAAUAUGGAGGAUCAGUCCCAAAUUUUAAAAAAUUGCGGUACAAAUUCUCUCACAGACGUCUUUAAAUGGUUGCGAAAGAAAUUGGUCAACUUUCUCCCUUAUUCAUACAAAAGUACGCAAUCGUCUUUCUUAUCGUCGCUUGGAGAAGAUGGUCUACGUUCAUUAUAAUAUGCGUCUUCAACUAAGAGCGAUAACAGAAGAACAAGAAUAGGAAAAACAAGAAUCUAGUUAUGUAGAUCUAUUUGAUAUUGGAUUUGUCCAAACUGAGGAUGAUCCAAUGAUGGAUUGGUAGAGCGUCGUUGAGGCUGAGGGCCUUGAUGAAAUCGGAGAUCCACCAAAACCAUCUCAAUUUCUUACUCAAGAGAUU